rnacentral:rRNA from 1 species
UGCAAGUCGAACGGGAAACCCUGCUUAGGCAGGGGAGUAGAGUGGCGAACGGGUGAGUAACGCGUGGGAGACCUGCCCUUCAGAGGGGGAUAACCCCGCGAAAGCGGGGCUAAGACCGCAUAAGCCCUACGGGGGAAAGGACGCAAGUCCGCUGAAGGAGGGGCCCGCGUCCGAUUAGCUGGUAGGUGAGGUAAGGGCUCACCUAGGCGACGAUCGGUAGCCGGUCUGAGAGGACGGGCGGCCACACUGGGACUGAGACACGGCCCAGACUCCUACGGGAGGCAGCAGUGGGGAAUUUUGGGCAAUGGGGGCAACCCUGACCCAGCAACGCCGCGUGGAGGACGAAGGUCUUCGGAUCGUAAACUCCUGUCCAGAAGGACGAAGAGAGUGACGGUACUUCUGGAGGAAGCCCCGGCUAACUCCGUGCCAGCAGCCGCGGUAAUACGGGGGGGGCGAGCGUUGUUCGGAAUUACUGGGCGUAAAGGGCGCGUAGGCGGCUUCGGAAGUCAUGGGUGAAAGUCCCCGGCUCAACCGGGGAAGGGCCUGUGAAACCACGGAGCUGGAGUGCUGGAGAGGAGAGUGGAAUUCCCAGUGUAGCGGUGAAAUGCGUAGAUAUUGGGAGGAACACCGGAGGCGAAGGCGGCUCUCUGGACAGACACUGACGCUGAGGCGCGAAAGCCAGGGGAGCGAACGGGAUUAGAUACCCCGGUAGUCCUGGCUGUAAACGAUGAACACUUGGUGUGGGGGGUAGGCAAGUCCCUCCGUGCCGGAGGUAACUCGUUAAGUGUUCCGCCUGGGGAGUACGGCCGCAAGGCUGAAACUCAAAGGAAUUGACGGGGGCCCGCACAAGCGGUGGAGCAUGUGGUUUAAUUCGACGCAACGCGAAGAACCUUACCGGGGUUUGAACUAUCCGGGCGACCGCGAGAGAUCGU